rnacentral:rRNA from 1 species
GAUGAACGCUGGCGGCGUGCCUAACACAUGCAAGUCGAACGAAGCACCUUACCUGAUUCUUCGGAUGAAAGUUUGGUGACUGAGUGGCGGACGGGUGAGUAACGCGUGGGUAACCUGCCCUGUACAGGGGGAUAACAGCUGGAAACGGCUGCUAAUACCGCAUAAGCGCACGAGGAGACAUCUCCUUGUGUGAAAAACUCCGGUGGUACAGGAUGGGCCCGCGUCUGAUUAGCUGGUUGGCAGGGUAACGGCCUACCAAGGCAACGAUCAGUAGCCGGUCUGAGAGGAUGAACGGCCACAUUGGAACUGAGACACGGUCCAAACUCCUACGGGAGGCAGCAGUGGGGAAUAUUGAACAAUGGGGGAAACCCUGAUGCAGCAACGCCGCGUGAGUGAAGAAGUAUUUCGGUACGUAAAGCUCUAUCAGCAGGGAAGAUAAUGACGGUACCUGACUAAGAAGCUCCGGCUAAAUACGUG